UUUUGUGCUAGCACUCAUCUUACUCCUCUCACCAAGAAAGGUCUUGGAGAUUUCCUCAUAAGCAGUCUGUGAGGAUGCUUUUAGAGGCCGAACAAUUGCAUAGCUUGUGGUUUGCUGCAGCCCAGCCCAAAGUUUUGUUAUCCUGAUCAAGAAUUUAUAAGAAAUUUUCUAAGAAAAUCAGAUCUGGUUUUUUUGAAUAACACACUUGGUGUUUGUGGAGCCAAACGAUUGGCUGGAUGGUUACUAGUUGUUGAUUGUGCAAGAGCGCCUCCUCGAAUGCGCAGUGGGUAGCCGACAUCCUUGCCUCCUUACUGCACUACCAUGAACGUUGUCAAUAAGCUUGCAGUUGGCUGUGGUGUCACACGAUCAGUUCACGGGAGUGGGGGCUAGUGGGCUUUGUGUGUAGCUAUUGGCGUGUUCCAACAUUGUUGUUGGCCUUGACGUAGUAGAAGACAGCCACAGUGAGGCCAUCGAUGGUUGUUGGGCAUGCUGGCAACGCUAGUGUUCAUUGAGGUUGCUAGUUCCAUUACAAACCCGAUGCAGGAAGAUGAAGGCCUUUCAGCCAUUGCCUUUGGUUUUUGGUUUAUUUAAAAGAUUGCCAUCCGUUAUAGUUGUCCUUUUUUUCAACAUAA